rnacentral:rRNA from 1 species
AGAGUUUGAUCAUGGCUCAGAUUGAACGCUGGCGGCAGGCCUAACACAUGCAAGUCGAGCGGUAGCACAGAGAGCUUGCUCUCGGGUGACGAGCGGCGGACGGGUGAGUAAUGUCUGGGAAACUGCCUGAUGGAGGGGGAUAACUACUGGAAACGGUAGCUAAUACCGCAUAACGUCGCAAGACCAAAGUGGGGGACCUUCGGGCCUCAUGCCAUCAGAUGUGCCCAGAUGGGAUUAGCUAGUAGGUGGGGUAAUGGCUCACCUAGGCGACGAUCCCUAGCUGGUCUGAGAGGAUGACCAGCCACACUGGAACUGAGACACGGUCCAGACUCCUACGGGAGGCAGCAGUGGGGAAUAUUGCACAAUGGGCGCAAGCCUGAUGCAGCCAUGCCGCGUGUAUGAAGAAGGCCUUCGGGUUGUAAAGUACUUUCAGCGAGGAGGAAGGCGUUAAGGUUAAUAACCUUGGCGAUUGACGUUACUCGCAGAAGAAGCACCGGCUAACUCCGUGCCAGCAGCCGCGGUAAUACGGAGGGUGCAAGCGUUAAUCGGAAUUACUGGGCGUAAAGCGCACGCAGGCGGUCUGUCAAGUCGGAUGUGAAAUCCCCGGGCUCAACCUGGGAACUGCAUUCGAAACUGGCAGGCUAGAGUCUUGUAGAGGGGGUAGAAUUCCAGGUGUAGCGGUGAAAUGCGUAGAGAUCUGGAGGAAUACCGGUGGCGAAGGCGGCCCCCUGGACAAAGACUGACGCUCAGGUGCGAAAGCGUGGGGAGCAAACAGGAUUAGAUACCCUGGUAGUCCACGCCGUAAACGAUGUCGACUUGGAGGUUGUGCCCUUGAGGCGUGGCUUCCGGAGCUAACGCGUUAAGUCGACCGCCUGGGGAGUACGGCCGCAAGGUUAAAACUCAAAUGAAUUGACGGGGGCCCGCACAAGCGGUGGAGCAUGUGGUUUAAUUCGAUGCAACGCGAAGAACCUUACCUACUCUUGACAUCCAGAGAACUUAGCAGAGAUGCUUUGGUGCCUUCGGGAACUCUGAGACAGGUGCUGCAUGGCUGUCGUCAGCUCGUGUUGUGAAAUGUUGGGUUAAGUCCCGCAACGAGCGCAACCCUUAUCCUUUGUUGCCAGCGGUUAGGCCGGGAACUCAAAGGAGACUGCCAGUGAUAAACUGGAGGAAGGUGGGGAUGACGUCAAGUCAUCAUGGCCCUUACGAGUAGGGCUACACACGUGCUACAAUGGCAUAUACAAAGAGAAGCGACCUCGCGAGAGCAAGCGGACCUCAUAAAGUAUGUCGUAGUCCGGAUUGGAGUCUGCAACUCGACUCCAUGAAGUCGGAAUCGCUAGUAAUCGUAGAUCAGAAUGCUACGGUGAAUACGUUCCCGGGCCUUGUACACACCGCCCGUCACACCAUGGGAGUGGGUUGCAAAAGAAGUAGGUAGCUUAACCUUCGGGAGGGCGCUUACCACUUUGUGAUUCAUGACUGGGGUGAAGUCGUAACAAGGUAACCGUAGGGGAACCUGCGGUUG